rnacentral:rRNA from 1 species
CAGGCUUAACACAUGCAAGUCGAGGGGCAGCAUGGUCUUAGCUUGCUAAGGCCGAUGGCGACCGGCGCACGGGUGAGUAACACGUAUCCAACCUGCCGUCUACUCUUGGACAGCCUUCUGAAAGGAAGAUUAAUACAAGAUGGCAUCAUGAGUCCGCAUGUUCACAUGAUUAAAGGUAUUCCGGUAGACGAUGGGGAUGCGUUCCAUUAGAUAGUAGGCGGGGUAACGGCCCACCUAGUCUUCGAUGGAUAGGGGUUCUGAGAGGAAGGUCCCCCACAUUGGAACUGAGACACGGUCCAAACUCCUACGGGAGGCAGCAGUGAGGAAUAUUGGUCAAUGGGCGAGAGCCUGAACCAGCCAAGUAGCGUGAAGGAUGACUGCCCUAUGGGUUGUAAACUUCUUUUAUAAAGGAAUAAAGUCGGGUAUGGAUACCCGUUUGCAUGUACUUUAUGAAUAAGGAUCGGCUAACUCCGUGCCAGCAGCCGCGGUAAUACGGAGGAUCCGAGCGUUAUCCGGAUUUAUUGGGUUUAAAGGGAGCGUAGAUGGAUGUUUAAGUCAGUUGUGAAAGUUUGCGGCUCAACCGUAAAAUUGCAGUUGAUACUGGAUAUCUUGAGUGCAGUUGAGGCAGGCGGAAUUCGUGGUGUAGCGGUGAAAUGCUUAGAUAUCACGAAGAACUCCGAUUGCGAAGGCAGCCUGCUAAGCUGCAACUGACAUUGAGGCUCGAAAGUGUGGGUAUCAAACAGGAUUAGAUACCCUGGUAGUCCACACGGUAAACGAUGAAUACUCGCUGUUUGCGAUAUACAGCAAGCGGCCAAGCGAAAGCGUUAAGUAUUCCACCUGGGGAGUACGCCGGCAACGGUGAAACUCAAAGGAAUUGACGGGGGCCCGCACAAGCGGAGGAACAUGUGGUUUAAUUCGAUGAUACGCGAGGAACCUUACCCGGGCUUAAAUUGCAGAUGAAUUACGGUGAAAGCCGUAAGCCGCAAGGCAUCUGUGAAGGUGCUGCAUGGUUGUCGUCAGCUCGUGCCGUGAGGUGUCGGCUUAAGUGCCAUAACGAGCGCAACCCUUGUUGUCAGUUACUAACAGGUUCCGCUGAGGACUCUGACAAGACUGCCAUCGUAAGAUGUGAGGAAGGUGGGGAUGACGUCAAAUCAGCACGGCCCUUACGUCCGGGGCUACACACGUGUUACAAUGGGGGGUACAGAGGGCCGCUACCACGCGAGUGGAUGCCAAUCCCCAAAACCUCUCUCAGUUCGGACUGGAGUCUGCAACCCGACUCCACGAAGCUGGAUUCGCUAGUAAUCGCGCAUCAGCCACGGCGCGGUGAAUACGUUCCCGGGCCUUGUACACACCGCCCGUCAAGCCAUGGGAGCCGGGGGUACCUGAAGUGCGUAACCGCGAGGAGCGCCCUAGGGUAAAACUGGUGACUGG